rnacentral:rRNA from 1 species
GAAGGAGAAGUCGUAACGGGGUUUCCGUAGGUGAACCUGCGGAAGGAUCAUUCG